rnacentral:rRNA from 1 species
AACGCUGGCGGCGUGCCUAAUACAUGCAAGUCGAGCGAAUUGAUGAAGAAGCUUGCUUCUUCUGAUGUUAGCGGCGGACGGGUGAGUAACACGUGGGCAACCUACCUUAUAGUUUGGGAUAACUCCGGGAAACCGGGGCUAAUACCGAAUAAUCUAUUUCCUCUCAUGAGGGAAUACUGAAAGACGGUCUCGGCUGUCACUAUAAGAUGGGCCUGCGGUGCAUUAGAUAGUUGGUGGGGUAACGGCCUACCAAGUCGACGAUGCAUAGCUGAACUGAGAGGUUGAUCGGCCACACUGGGACUGAGACACGGCCCAAACUCCUACGGGAGGCAGCAGUAGGGAAUUUUCGGCAAUGGGGGAAACCCUGACCGAGCAACGCCGCGUGAGUGAAGACGGCCUUCGGGUUGUAAAGCUCUGUUGUAAAGGAAGAAUGGCAUGGAUAGAAUCCAUGAGUGACGGUACUUUACCAGAAAGCCACGGCUAACUACGUG